ACUCCUAAACAAAUUCUUUAACGACUUUUAUUUUAUACACAAUGUAGAGUGCUUGAGAAGUCUCAUUGUUUUGGUCUGGAUAUAUAAAAUGAGGUGAUAUACUGUUCUGUUGUUUUUUCCAUAUGCAGUUAUCAGAGCUGCAUUUGAGACAGUCCUGAACUGAAAUCUUGGAAUCUGAAUUCCUUGAUAUACAAAAAGGCUGUAUAUGAACCUGAGUACUGAGAUGCAGAAAACUACCUUCAGUUUCAAGUGAGAAAAGAAGUUUGGUUACUCUGGACAGAGGGGAAAAAAAACAACAUGAAUCAAAAUUGCAUCUCUCCAGAGAUUUCUGUCAGCAUCUUGCCUCCAAAACAGUGGUCUCUACAGAGUCAUCUCCUGACGUACAGUUGAAAAGCACCACACAAGAACGUAUCUAUAUACUCCACAGAGCAAAGAUCAUGCUGAGAGCUGGAAACUGUGAGCUGUAUUCCUCUUACCUACUAUGAAACAUGGGAGCAAUGAUAGCACAUCAGGUCAAGAGACUGGUGAGCAGUUCUGUCCACCUUGCCAAGUUGCUAGACUUUGGCCUCCUGUGAAGUCAGUGGAAUGAAAAAUCAUCUUGGUACCCAAGUGUUAUCACAAGUACCUUACUUCACCAAUGGCUGAGAGAAUUCAGAUGAUGGAUUGUCCAGGCUGAUUCAUGCUUUUGGGAACCUCCAACUAGCCUUCACCAUGAACUCAGUGUCUAGAGAAUGGUUGAAGAACUGGAGCAUAAGCGGACAUCUACCUUUUAAAUAAAGACCCUCUCCAUAUGAAUUCAAACAUACUCUUGCUGCUGACAAAGGAUGUUAAUAUUGAAGUCAGGUAACACCUUUAAUUUUUUUCUUUGGGACAGUCUUUUUUUACGGCUUCCCUUACUAGUAUAAGAAGAUCCAUACUGUGGCACUACAGUAAAAGAUUCCCAUCCUAAACUGGGUAUAUAAACUCAACAGAAGUCGACUAGUUGAGAGAGGGCUUGAGAAAAGGGAGUUAAGCCUAAUUAAAGUAUUAAUUCUUCAAUCAUUCCUGCAAAAAUCAAAAUAAAUGUUUGCUCUUUUUUUUUUCCCCAGCUAAAAAGCUUCCAGUGUGGCCUGUACCAUUAAAGGAUUACAGCUCCUUUGCAAUUAUGCUGUGUUCCUCUUUCCUCUCUAUUCUGUCUUAGGGUGGUGAAUCUUAAAUCACCAAAAUUUUGUUGGUGUGACAAUAAAAGAAUGGUCUUCUGACAGCUCUUGAGAACCUGCAGUUCAUGUUGCUUUUUGAAGUACUUGAAUAGCUAACAUGAAAGGCCAGAUGCUUGAUUCCAUUUGACAAAUCUCCCCUUCUGUAUAUUGUGGUGUUUCAAUCUUGACCAUGACUGUCACCAAGUUGCUUUUUUGCUUACUCCUUGACAGUCAACCGCCAGCCAGUCAACUGAUUGAAGAUGGGCCCUAGUCUUAUCUAGCCAGAACGUGGCACAGAAACAGAUGGCUUCUGCUCCUGAUCAGCAGCCUGGGUAGUAUUUUUAAGACUUCUAAAGGCACUUUUGCACUGGUAAGGGUGGGAAGCUCUUCACAUUUCCAUACAUCCUGCUGCACACUUUCUGAUCGAAAUCUGGAGGAGGAAUUGAACUUCUGGCAGCAGUUAUGAACUUGGCAGCCAGUCAGUUUCUUUUAAGGACCCUGCUGUGUCAGGGUACAGAUCAAGGUGCAAAAACAACCCUCUGAAAAGUUUAUUUUCCUUAGAUAGAGAAGACUGAGUUGUAUGGAGCCAACCUAUGGCGGGGAUUGAAAACGGUCUGCAGUACUAAGUAUGUUUUUUUUGAGCACCAUUCUUGCCCUAAUUUGUUUUUCACAUACAGCCUGUCAAUGCUUGAGGUGUUUGACUGUCCAUGUCUUCAGAUGAAUGGACACAUCAAAAAGAUGGACCGAUAUACUGGCAUCAACACAGUUUUACUUUGGUCACUUUACUUUACAAAUCAAUCUGAAGAAGCAAGAACAUAGCAAAACCUCUAAUCUCAAGGUUUUGACUUUCUGGGGUUUUUAAGCAGAAAUAUUAGCUAUCUGCAAUUCAAAGAGAGGGGCUGAGGGUGGGGGGCUUACGCUUCCCAUUUUGUUUUUUAAGAAGGUCACAGUGAAAGCUUGUGAUUGAAUAUUUUGCAUGGAACUGCCUAUGACAAAGACAAAGAUGAGGGGUUUGUCAGAGUGCUAUGAAAAGAGAGAGAGGGAAAGAUCUUUGUUAGAUUUUUAAGGUAUAUUUGAAAGAAUGAAAUAAAAAAAUGCUUUCAAAUCCUCAGGGACUUUCCAAUUUAUCAAGAAAGACACAUUCUUCCUAAUGAAAGGUUACUGACCUUCAUGAA